GACGAACGCUGGCGGCGUGCUUAACACAUGCAAGUCGAACGGACAGGCCCUGCUUUUGUUGCGUUCUCGUUUGGCGAACGGGUGAGUAACACGUGUGUAACCUGCCCUUGUCUUUGUGAUAUCUUCUGGAAACUGGGGCUCUUACCCGAUAUGAUCUCCUGCUGCAUGUUGGUGGUUGGAAAGUUUCGGCGGUUGGGGAUGGUCUCGCUGCUUAUCAGCUUGUUUGGGGGGUUGGUGCUUACCAAGGCUUUGACGGGUAGCCGGCCUGGGCGGGUUACCGGGCACAAUGGGACUGAGAUAGGGACCAGAAGGGUACGGGAGGCAGCAGGGGGGAAUAUGGCACAAUGGGGGGAAGCGAGAUGCAGAAACGCCGCGUGCGGGAUGACGGGCUACGGGGGGUAAACAGAUGUCGAAGGAGACGAAGAGAGAGUGACGGUAAUGGGUAAAGAAGCAACGGCUAACUACGUG
rnacentral:rRNA from 1 species